ensembl:lncRNA
CCUCUCUCUGUUGUUCCUGUGCUGGCCAUUAGAGGUCAUCCAGUUGGUUUCUAAUCAGCCCCCUCUCAUGCCAUAGGUCUCUCUUCAGUGAUGACGUCAUGGGCUUGUCCCCUGUCUUCAAGGACCACCUCCUCUGGAUGCCAAGCUGCUGCAAAGUGCCUUUCCACCUCAUGAGGGCCCAGGAGAACAGAUUCCUGGACCCCAUCAGCAUACAACGCAGCCACCAGAAGACCCCCAGGACCAGGAUGGUGAAGAACGAAGAGGAGCAGCCCUUACCGGCCAGCCCUCGCUUCUGGCUAAAGAUUUAAACUAGUGCCCUAGUGAGGGGGCAUUGGUUAUUACCCCCGAUCUUUGCUAUGCUUGUGCCUUGACCCUGAAUACUUCCCUGUGUUCUUUGCUUGUGUUCACCUGCCAGCAAACUGGAGUGCUUCCCUCCCCAAGGGGGAGGUCAGUCUUUGGUGACUGACCAGGUUGUCCUUACAGUGUCCUGAAUGGAAGGAUCCCUUUGGGAACCUCUCAGGAGGGGGACCUGGGCCAAGGGUCACCAGCAUCUAGCUGGCAAUUCCAGGGCCCUGGGUGGGCUUCUGGAAUGAGCAUGCGACUGACACCCCCCCCCCCCCGCCCAAGGCAUGUCUCGUUCCUGUCCUUCUCUGGGGAAUGGGGACAUUAGGAGCAACCUCCUAGGGUUGUUGUGAGAAUUAAAUGAGAUAAAGUAGCCUGGGACAGGGCUGGGCAGAGAGGAGGCCAUCAGCAAAUGUUUGUUGAAAAGGGUUGCAGGUCAAUCUCUUCCCACCCCACUCCUUUGUCUUACUUGUCUUGUUUAUUCUUCAACAGACUCCUGACAGCACCUGUGCUUGGAGCUUUCCUUGCACCAGGUAGGGGGUUCCACAGAGAGUGACCAUCGGGCAGACUUGAGUAAGGACAUGAAUUAUGCAUGUGGCAAUUUCCAGAGCACUUUCUAUGUAGCAUGAACAUGUCAUUCCUAUGUAAUAUAUGUAUGUAAAACGAGGCAGCCUCAUUUCCAGAGAAGAAUGAACUUGGCAUGGAUUUGCAAGUUUAAAGAGGCAGGCAGAAAAGAGAACUGUGAAAUCUAAGCCCCUGUCCCAUGGGGUCACAUUUACAUUGGCGUUAAAGAAAUUGAAGGUGAGGGAUCUAAGUAUUUUGUCAUAUUGCUGGCAAAAGGUCACCAUCGUAGCUACCCGUGAUCCCCUGCUGCCCCCAGCUCAUAGUUCUAUGAACUCUUAUUUCAAAUCAAUCAUUUGACAGAGUAAUAGUUUGUUUAGAAUCCUAGCCACCCAGGUUGAUCUUGGGGUCUGGGUGGCCCCAAUGCUGGUACCUUGUGCUGGCUUCACCUGUUAAUAAUGGUGUGACCUUAAACAAGUCACUUAACUCCUGCAACUUUCAGCUCCUCUCAUGGUCUAAAUGGGUAUUAUAAAAAAAAUAGUAACAAACACCAAAAACAACAACAACCCCCCCCCAAACAACUGCUUUAUCUGGGCCACGGGGUGCUUUUGAAGAUCAAAUGAUGUAACUCCCAUGAAAGUGCUUUGUAAAUUGCUAUGAUAAGAACCCUCACUGCCCAGUUCUGUUCUCCGCCAUGAAUAAGUCAGCACCCAGUAGGUGCUGGGUGUGUUUGUACUCAAUAAAUAAAUUCCAGAAUAAAUAAAAAUGGAAUUA